rnacentral:rRNA from 1 species
UUCGCCCUUAGAGUUUGAUCCUGGCUCAGGACGAACGCUGGCGGCGUGCUUAACACAUGCAAGUCGAGCGGGGAUGAUCGUGGAAGGGCUUCGGUCCGGAAGUGAUCAUUCUAGCGGCGGACGGGUGAGUAACGCGUGAGCAAUCUGUCCCAUACAGGGGGAUAACACUUGGAAACAGGUGCUAAUACCGCAUAAGACCACGGCACCGCAUGGUGCAGAGGUAAAAGGAGUGAUCCGGUAUGGGGUGAGCUCGCGUCCCAUUAGAUAGUUGGUGAGGUAACGGCCCACCAAGUCGACGAUGGGUAGCCGACCUGAGAGGGUGAUCGGCCACAUUGGAACUGAGAGACGGUCCAGACUCCUACGGGAGGCAGCAGUGGGGAAUAUUGGGCAAUGGGCGAAAGCCUGACCCAGCAACGCCGCGUGAAGGAAGAAGGUUUUCGGAUUGUAAACUUCUGUCCUUGGUGACGAAGGAAGUGACGGUAGCCAAGGAGGAAGCCCCGGCUAACUACGUGCCAGCAGCCGCGGUAAUACGUAGGGGGCCAAGCGUUGUCCGGAAUGACUGGGCGUAAAGGGCGUGUAGGCGGCCGAUUAAGUCUGAAGUGAAAGUCCUGCUUUCAAAGUGGGGAAUUGCUUUGGAGACUGGUUGGCUUGAGUGCGGAAGAGGUAAGUGGAAUCCUCAGUGGGGCGGUGAAAUGCGUAGAGAUUGGGAGGAACACCAGUGGCGAAGGCGACUUACUGGGCCGUAACUGACGCUGAGGCGCGAAAGCGUGGGGAGCGAACAGGAUUAGAUACCCUGGUAGUCCACGCUGUAAACGAUGAAUGCUAGGUGUUGCGGGUAUCGACCCCUGCAGUGCCACAGUGAACGCAAUAAGCAUUCCGCCUGGGGAGUACGGCCGCAAGGCUGAAACUCAAAGGAAUUGACGGGGGCCCGCACAAGCAGCGGAGCAUGUUGUUUAAUUCGAAGCAACGCGAAGAACCUUACCAUGUCUUGACAUCCAAUAAAAGCUAUAGAGAUAUAGUGUGACUUCGGUCGUAUUGAGACAGGUGGUGCAUGGUUGUCGUCAGCUCGUGUCGUGAGAUGUUGGGUUAAGUCCCGCAACGAGCGCAACCCCUAUUGUUAGUUGCUACGUAAGAGCACUCUAGCGAGACUGCCGUUGACAAAACGGAGGAAGGCGGGGACGACGUCAAAUCAUCAUGCCCCUUAUGUCCUGGGCUACACACGUAAUACAAUGGUCGUCAACAAAGGGAAGCAAAACCGCGAGGUGGAGCAAAUCCCCAAAAGCGAUCUCAGUUCGGAUUGCAGGCUGCAACUCGCCUGUAUGAAGUCGGAAUUGCUAGUAAUCGCGGAUCAGCAUGCCGCGGUGAAUACGUUCCCGGGCCUUGCACACACCGCCCGUCA